rnacentral:rRNA from 1 species
UGGGGAAUAUUGGACAAUGGGCGAAAGCCUGAUCCAGCAAUGCCGCGUGAGUGAUGAAGGCCUUAGGGUUGUAAAGCUCUUUUACCCGGGAUGAUAAUGACAGUACCGGGAGAAUAAGCCCCGGCUAACUCCGUGCCAGCAGCCGCGGUAAUACGGAGGGGGCUAGCGUUGUUCGGAAUUACUGGGCGUAAAGUGCACGUAGGCGGCUUUGUAAGUUAGAGGUGAAAGCCCGGGGCUCAACUCCGGAAUUGCCUUUAAGACUGCAUCGCUAGAAUUGUGGAGAGGUAAGUGGAAUUCCGAGUGUAGAGGUGAAAUUCGUAGAUAUUCGGAAGAACACCAGUGGCGAAGGCGACUUACUGGACACAUAUUGACGCUGAGGUGCGAAAGCGUGGGGAGCAAACA